GACGUAGGGGGCCAGCGUUGUUCGGAAUUACUGGGUGUAAAGGGUUCGUAGGCGGUGUAGCAAGUCGGGAGUGAAAUCUCUGGGCUUAACCCAGAGGCUGCUUCCGAAACUGCUGUGCUUGAGUGUGGGAGAGGCGCGUGGAAUUGCAGGUGUAGCGGUGAAAUGCGCAGAUAUCUGCAGGAACACCCGUGGCGAAAGCGGCGCGCUGGACCACUACUGACGCUGAGGAACGAAAGCUAGGGGAGCAAACAGG
rnacentral:rRNA from 1 species